CUGUCGCCCCCUUCUGCGUGACAGUGUGUGCCCCCCCCAGAAACGGUGGGGCAGCGUGCGGCCGAUCGCUCGACCGCACGGAGGGAUUCUCCCCCCGCGGAGCGGGAGGUACCCUCCUGGGGUAUUACUUUUCUCACAGAUGCCAUUUCAUGUUUUGUUUCCUUUUUUAUUAACCAGGGGUCGGUCCCCUGGGGUCUGGUUGGUACCCUCGGGACUGGACUCCCUCCAGCCAUUCAUCCCAUCGCCGGGCACCAGAGCUUAGGAUUGGGGCAUUUUUUAAAGAGGUUUACGUCCUCGCGGCCCCGUGCCUCGCGGCAGCGGCCCCCGUCCCCCACGCGGUGAGGAUUACGGGUUGGCCGGCGGCCCGCCGAGUGCAACGAGCAACACGACAGACCACCGCCCGACGCUCAUUAGAGCAACAACCACGAAGCCACGCCGGUAUACCGGUACCCCCCUCUGGAGGGCGUGCCCCUGUAGCCGAAGCCGGGGACAUGGCGACCAGCGGCCGGAAGAUGCGUAAGCAACGCCGGCUCACUUCUCCAUCAAAGGGCAGGCCAAAAGUGGCCCACCACCACCCGUGGGUUACGUCCGAAACGGGUCGGACGUGACCCGAAGAAAAAAGAAAAAGGGGGAAGAAAGGGGAAAAGAGAGGGAGCCCGAGCGUCUCCAGGAGGAGCUCCCUUCAGCGAGUGAAGGGCGUGGAGAGCCCGCAACUCCCCCUGCUGGUUUUGGUCCGCGUCAUCCGAUCUCUUUCGUUGCAAAGCCUAACUAGGCUACCCUACUCCUACACCUAGCCUACCUACCUAACACCUAGAAAUCCUUGCAACGAAAAAGACCGGACGAUACCCCUGGGAGUGGGACUGUUCCCAGAGGAUCCCGUUAUCCGCCACCUACGGACGCGCCCGGUGGAAGUCCAGCAAAACUCCCCCACAGACGGAGCCCCCGGCCACGCAGAGUACGCGCCGGGGGGCCCGCCCAGGUCCCUCGGGCCAUUGAACUAUCCUGUCCAUUAUGACUAUUAUUAUUAUUAUUAGGGUUGAAUAAAGUAGCAGCGUUGGUCGGUAUGGUUAAAUUUGAUUGAGAUAACACAUAAAACACAUAAACACAUAAAAACACGUUUAGGUAAUACUUGGCCGUCAAAUGUCAAUACAACUGUUUAGGAGGGUUUCCAAGUUGGUUCAUUAUUUACAAAUUACCUUAUAAUUUAAACGACUGACUUUAAUUAUAUCAACACAUCCCAUAGGCACAUUAGUAUUUUCCUUAAUAUCUUCGGGAGACCACUUAGUUGGAACUCCCCUUACUAAUCCCAUUCCGGUAAUAUUAAAGGUGGGUAUAUAUGCUUUCAACCUAUUUUCAGAUAAACAAUUUGACUGGAGAAAGCUGUUGGCGUCUAAAUAAUUAUGAAAAGAAAGAUACAUUUUGUUUCUUCCUAUCCUUUUCAAACUGCCAUUUACAAUUUUUUUAAAAGCAUUUUUUUAAAAACCUACCGAACACAAUAGGAUGCAGAUUGGUGCCGUCGUCUUCCGCAGACUGUAUUUUAUAAACAUCCACAAUGUAAGGGCCAUGAUCAUUGCAAUCAUAACUAGUCCUGCCUAUUUGUGUGGGAGCUUGGGAAGGAGAAUUAACGUUAUCGGGAGUAGAAGAUGGUAAAUUAUUCAUGGGGACCUUUUUAAACUAAUCAUUACAAUGACAAUCAGUGUUUUUGAAUGCAUCAUUAUUAUGUUUCCUUUUCCUCUUAUUACAUUGCUUGCAUAUCCUAUGAAGAUAAUUCCGUUUUAAUUUUCGUUUGGAUACAGACGAAUAGUCGGAAUCCAUUCCAGAUUCGUUUGAAAUUGUAACAAAUGGUCCCACAGGGGGCACUGUGCCCCCUGGGUCUGGCGGCUCGUUCAUAAAAGUAUUCAGAAAAAACUUACCCUACGUAGAAAAGACAAAUAAUAAAUAUAGGAAUAACACUAAUCUAAAAUUCACAACUUAGAACUAUUCUGAUUACUAAUUACAAUAAAUCUACAAUUUAAUUUGAAAAAUAAUUUAAAAACCGCGCCCGCCAAGUUCGAAGGUUUCCCGCGCUUUUUCGUCUGAUUUUUUAUUAGACGAAGUCAACUGACGUUUACUGUGUUGUCAGUUUUUGAUGAAAUAAAAAUAGUGUUGUGACAAAGUGAACGAUUGAAAAAACUCCUGAAUUAAUGAAAUUGCCUCGAUUGUCUAGUGAAUAGUCGGUGUGCCGAAUUGCCGAUAUCGGGUACGGGGUUCGAAUUUUAGGCGUGCUUUGUACAUACCAACGACUUUUCGACGAAAUAUUAUGUUCCUAUAGUAUCUACCUGUACCGAAUAUCGAGUGUUUUAAACAUUAAGAAAAACAUUGCGAGGAAGCUUGUAAGACUGUCCUAUUUCCAAUAAAUCAUAUAGUUGAAACUAUAGAUGUAUAAAAUAUAACAAUUAUUGGUAGUGGUAAUUAUAGGUAUAUUGAAGUCGUCGUGGCCUAAAGGAUAAUACGUCCGGUGCAUUCGUAUGAAGCGAUGCACCGGUGUUCGAAUCCCGCAGGCGGGUACCAAUUUUUCUAAUGAAAUACGUACUCAACAAAUGUUCACGAUUGGCUUCCACGGUGAAGGAAUAACAUCGUGUAAUAAAAAUCAAACCCGCAAAAUUAUAAUUUGCGUAAUCACUGGUGGUAGGACCUCUUGGGAGUCCGCACGGGUAGGUACCACCACCCACCCUGCCUAUUUCCGCCGUGAAGCAGUAAUGCUUUUCGGUUCGAAGGGUGGGGUAGCCGUCGUAACUAUACUGAGACCUUAGAACUUAUAUCUCGAGGUGGGUGGCGCAUUUACGUUGUAGGUGUAUGGGCUCCAGUAACCACUUAACAUCAGGUGGGCUGUGAGCUCGUCCAUCCAUCUAAGCAAUAAAAAAAAAAAAGGUAGGUAAUGAAAAUAAAAAAAAACUGAUUGUAGUUACAUACUACUAGUAACAUAUAUUGGAGCACUUUAAUACAAUUUUAUUGUAAAAUAUAAAUUAUAUUCUUUUAUAAUUUGAAAUUAAUGAUUAACUCUUCACACUCAUUGUUCAUUCAUGUGAUUGAACGAGAACUGAACGCAUCACUAUUACUUUAAAUCAUAGACCUAUAUAGUAGGGACACGACAUGUUGUUCUAUACGUACAAUUGCUUAUAUAAAUAGCACCCAUUUUGAAGGCACACACAUAAACAUAUAUCUAUCUCGUUCUUACUCAGCACUUUAACUCGCAGGAAAACAAUAUAACAGUAUUUCAGUGCGUACAUAAAAUUAAACAUGAAUAUACGUAAAUAUCUCCAUCUCCGUCUAAUGAGGCCGAAAAUCCGCCAUGUUGAGCGCACCAAAUGUCAUUGUCACGUCAGUUCGGCCGUCUGUUUUGGGUUGUACAUUAAUUAUUGACUUUGAUAUCGAUUUAAUAUGAUUGCUUAUAUAAAAUUUCAAAAUUUAUCAUGCUUAGAACAUACAAAAAUAAUAAUUAAAACGUAUUUUAUAUGAUCUCAAGAAAGUCGAUGCCCCAAAACUAUUAUCUAUAUAUAUUUAAAUUCAUUUUGGAGCCCUCAUCAUUCUUCGGUCGGAAUCUAUUGAUCAUGACACUAAUCACAAAUACCUCUUUAAAAUAUGUCAUCAAAACAUAUUUAGACAUUCUGUUCAGAUAUUUCGGGAAAAAGGCUACCUACAAAAUCUCUUCGGAACUAUUUAAAUAAAAUAGUUUUAUUCCGCAGUGAGUAAAAAAACACUAUUGUAAAUUCGUUAAAUAUUUAAUAAUUACGUGAUUUUAGAGAGGAAGUCACAAGGAAUGACGUUUUUAAUAAUGAAGAAAUGUUCUGUAGGUGUUUUUUUUUUCACGCGGUCCCUUGAUAAGUUUAAAAUUUGAAUCACUCUCAAGUGAAAGUAAUUCAAAUGGUGCGGCGCACCUUCCUUGGGGUUCGCUGCGGUAGUGGUUACGGACUUUAGAGUCAGCAAAACAAUUAAAAUAGAUUGUAAUAGUCUAAGAAAAACACGUACUCAAAAUACGAUAACAUUUAGCAUGCUAGAAAUGGGCAGAUGGCACUGUACUACGCUAUAUCUUGAUGUUUUGCGACAAACGACAACUUUAUAAAAUCAGUGUAGCAACUUUUAAAAAUCAUCAUAUCGCUUACUUGGCAAAUUCGAAGGACGAACUUGUCUUAGAUUUCACCCAUCUAAAUCAUAUCAUAUUUGCACAAAACAAUAUACCUACUUACUUCCCAUUAAAGUAUAAAUUCUACAAAUAAAUAAUACUCAACAAUAUUUAAAAUAAAAUGAGCCAAGAACGUUUAUCGAUAAAACCUGAUAACAUUGAAAUCUUUUGUACAGCACUAAAACCGCCAUGUUUUGUGGUCAGAUGACGUCACAGUGGUACGAAUUUUUGGUUGAAGUUUCAUUUCCAUAGGUUUCCUACUUUAGUGCUUUAAAUAUAGCAACAUUAUUUCACAAAGUGACAUUAGCUGCUGUCAGCUGGCUUCGUCUAAAUAAAAAUCCGACUAUAGCUGGGCCAAGUGUGGAAGGAUUGUCUCCACGAUUUAAUUGUGAUAAGGUACAUUUCUACAUAUUAAAAGUAAUAAUAUGAAUACCUACUUCAAUAUUUUGAGUAUUCUAAAGACUCUUUACAUUUUUAAUCCUUAUCUGAUUUUAAGCAAACUUUGCAUUAAUUAUAUACUGGGCUUAAUAUAGAUUAAUCAACUAUAACUAUGAAAAACUAAAUGUAACUAGGCCAAGGUACUACAAAGUAUUUUCUCAAUCAAUGUUUAUUAUUUAUCACAUGUUUUUUUUUUAGAUACCAGAAUGUAAAGAAACAAUUAUAAAACUUCCAGUGAGUAGUGAAGUAGAAGAUAAUCAUAGCAAGAAAAGUACCGGUCUACCUACUGAUGACUGCAGUGUGAACAUGAUGGACAAAUUUAAGUUACACAUCCAAGACACACCUCCAGUUUCUACCAGUUAUUCAGAACGUACCCUCAAUCGCUUUAUUGUGAAAAAGAAACGGUCAACACCGUUACGAAGAAAUCUAGAGAGUUUCAAGAACACAAUGGAAAAUUAUGGUGAUUUGUCACAAAAGAAAAAGCAAAACAAGACAAAAUAGAACAUGAAUUGAGAUGUGACUUGCUAAUGUUGGAAAUAUUGUUGAAGAAAAAGGAAUUAAAUAGAUAAAAAAUAAACACUAUGUAAAAGUUGUUUUAUUUGUAAAACUAUUACAAUAAUUAAACUAUUUUAGUUUUUAAAAUGCAAGAUCUGUUUAUUUGAUGUAACAUACUAAAAUGACUAUUUAUUAACAAUUGUGUUUUUAAAUGAUUGUUGUUAUCCCUAUUUCCGUUAUCAAUAUUUAUUGGGUGGCUAGACAAAUCUAUUGAAUUUUGUAUUUCUAUAUCCAUGCUUGGAAUUCCAUCUCCGUUAUUUAUGCAUAUAUUAUGCAAAAUGUACAGGCAACAAUAAUGUCUUGUACUAACUCUAGAUUUACUCUCAUACCAAUUGAUAACACAGGAAAGCGUCUUUUCCAUAUCCCAAAGCGCCUUUCUAUACAACUUCUAGUGCGAAUAUGAGACUCAUUGUUUGUUGUUGAACUAACUGAGUGGACUGUAGGUUUUGUGGUUCUUGUGAAAUAUAAAGACUUUAUCACUAUUACUGGGUGUUUAUUGAUAUUUAUAGAAAGUACAAAGGUUUUUACAGGCACAGCGAUGGAAGCGAAUUUUGUGAAUGAAAAUUAUGACUGGUUUAAGACCUAGUGAAUGAUUUAGAAUGAAUGACAUUAAUGUAGGUUUGCUACACUCAUUAUAAAGUUUUUCUGCUGAUGUCACUGGAUUCUGAAGUGGUGUUCAUAAAUAGUUUUUCAGUUCAUAUCCAGCAUCACCAAGAAGAAUAUUUUGUCCUAUUUGUCCUGAUUCGAAAACAGCACACAAACGACUGUUACUAAAAAUAGUACUGUCAUGACUAGCACCAGGCCACCUAGCAUGCAACAUCCAAAAAAUUUAAGUUGGAUGUACAUACUGCUUGGACAUUUGAUGAAAAGUAUCCCUUCCUAUUUCUAUAAUUUUGCCCUCCUGGGGAUUGUAAACGAAUAUGUGUAUAGUCUAGAGCACCAUAUACACAAAGAAAUCUAGCAAUAGAAUAAAAGCCAGUUUGAUUUUGUUGUUGUUUAAUUGGAGAAAGAUGAAGUUUAAGAUGGUUAAAUCUGUUGGCUGCAAUAACUUUUGUUACUCUUUUAAUUGUUUUUCCUGCUGUAGUUUGAUGAACUCCACUGAAAUCUCCAGCUGUUAUUUGCAUACUUCCAGUUGCAUAGAAUCUAAGCGUAAGCAGGAGUUGGUUCAUUGGGGACAAUGCAUUGUUCCUGAAAUAAUAUAGUCUGUCAGUAUAGUCUGUAAUAUAAUGAGUUAAUUAUGACAUGUAAUUAAAAACAUGCAAUGAAAUACAGAAAUAUACAACAAAAUUAUAUAGCCUGUGUGUUACGAGGGCUGCACUAAAAGUAUCGGGAAUGGAAUAUUUCCACUGCUCCUGUCAUAUUAAAAUAUUUUUAAUUGAAAACUCCUUGGUUUUAAAAAUCGAAUACCAUUUAUUUAUUUAAAAAAAGAUUCUCGGUCUUGUCACGACGUUUUGUCAAACUUGUUUAGUCGUUGAGAAAAUGGAAUUGACUCGAGAAAAUUCAAGAGAGAUGAUUUAUUAUGACUUUCGAAGUGGUUUAACACAAAAACAGUGUGUUGACCGGAUGAUUUCUGCAUUUGGUGAUGAAGCCCCAUCCAAAACCACAAUUUAUCACUGGUUUGCUGAGUUUCAACGUGGACGUGUCAAGCUCAGUGAUGAUCCCCGUCAAGGUCGUCCAAAAACUGCAGUCACCCAAGAAAAAACUGCAGUCACCCAAGAAAACGUUGAUGCUGUGCGUAAGCUGAUUGAGGAAGAUCGACAUGUGACAUACCGCGAAAUUUAGGCAACUUUAGACAUUGGCAUGAGUCAAAUACAAAUAAUCUUGCAUGAACAAUUAGGUGUAAAAAAGUUGUUUUCCCGAUGGAUACCGCAUUCGCUCUGUGAAGAGCAAAAAGCGGCUCGCGUUACUUGGUGCGUCAGAACUCUCGAAAGAUUCCACGCAGGAUCCGUAAAUGCUGUAUACAACAUUGUAUCAGGUGACGAAUCCUGGAUAUACGCGUACGAACCCGAAAUAAAAAACCAGUCACGAGUUUGGGUGUUCGAAAAUGAGUUAUUGCCAACAAAAAUUGUUCGUUCACGGAGUGUUGCAAAAAAAAUGGUGGCCACGUUUGUCUCCAAAACCGGCCAUGUUACGACUAUUGGACGACUUGAGGGACAAAGAACGGUUAAUGCGGAAUGGUAUGCUAGCAUUUGUUUGCCACAGGUCGUUUCUGAACUCCGUAAAGAGAACUGCAACCGCCGCAUCAUCCUCCAUCACGACAAUGCGAGUUCUCACACCGCGCAUAGAACAAAAGAGUUUUUAGAGCAAGAAAACAUAGAAUUAUUAGACCAUCCGCCGUACAGCCCCGACCUAAGCCCUAAUGAUUUCUAUACUUUCCCUAAAAUAAAGAAUAAAUUGCGUGGACAAAGAUUUUCAUCACCUGAAGAAGCUGUGGACCCCAACUUCCGAAUGGAAUGGUUGCUUCAAUGAUUGGUUCCACCGUAUGGAAAAAUGUGUCAAAUUUCGCGGAGAAUACUUCGAAAAGCAAUAAAUACAUUUUUAAAUAGUAAUGUUGUGUCACUUCGUUAAUUCCCGAAAUUUUCAGUGCCGCCUAUGUACCUACUGUACUUCCACAUGUCCAAAAUGUGGUACAGUAGGUACACAUAGGUUAUAUAAUUUUUUUGGUAAUUUACCUUUUCAUUUGGAAAGCAAUUUAUUAAGUAUUCGAUUUUGAUGUAAUUAAAAUAAUAUUUGCCGUGAAGUAGGAUGACGAAUUUGGUUUUCAAUUUCACAUAAAAUAGCUUGUGCUGAUGUUUUGGAAACACGAAAAAACCGUAUGAAUUUUAUAACGUCCCACUCAUACCAUUGAUUGUUUUUUGUACGAAUAACGUACUAUAAUAUAUAUAUAUGUAUAUAUAUGUCAGCACGCGCCAGGGAUGACUAAGCGAUAGUUUCCGUCAUCACUCGUAUUCGAUUGAACUCAGUUCAGUCAAUAAAACUUUCCGAAUAAUAAUUAUUGAAACUCAACACACACAACUUUCACAAUGACAGGGUAAAUCGACAGUUUCGUUUUACAUACCGACUGACUGACUGUCAGAGACUGACUGACUGUCAGAGACUCACUGACUGAGACAGACGGAAUGACUGUCUGACACGGAAUGCCACGACUCUGUCCACGUACCGCCAUUUUAUACUGUGGCGUUACGGAGUCUACCCUACAUUUUUGUGAUAUUUAUCAAAACAACAUUUCAUCAUUUAAAAUAAUAGUCAAAACCACCGUCUUAAUAUUACUAAAACUCGUUAUCCACGACAUAUAUAUAUUUAUAUUAUUAUAAACCAUUUAAAUCAUCGAUAUCUGAAUCUGAAUCACUAUUGUAAUAUUCCACGUUGCUGGUUAAUAUCAAAAACACUCAAAUACAAAAUCUUUAAUGUUAUUGACAAUGACAUAUUUACAUCUAAUCCAUGAAGGAAGGUUUAAACGCCCCUCUGGGAAGGUUUAAACUUAUUGGUAGUUUAAACUGUGUUGGGUCGAUGAUCUGUCAUUGAUAUUACAAGAGAAACGAAAAGGACAGAUUAAACUGUGUUCUCUAGUUUAAACUACGAUUGAUAUUACGGCCCUUAGGGCCUGUCCGCACAGCGAUAUUUCACCGGUUUUUAUUUGUACACACUGCGAAUAAAAUUUCGUACUAUUUUCGUCAGUUUUAAUCAGUUCUCGGCUGAGACGCACGUCUAAAAUGGACAACCGAACAAAAAUUUUAAUUUAUCUAAAGCUAAAGCGGCGUAACAGACGUAUCAAAAGAUUUCAUGAGUAUUGGAUUCACCCAAUUACGGCAUUAAGACCCAUGAAAGGAUUUUUCUACAUAAAAUAUCAAGAGUUGCGAAAAUACAGCAAAAAGUUUUUUGGCUAUUGCAGAAUGACAAAAAAAUCAUUCGAUAAUUUACUACAACUAGUUGGUCCAGCGAUCACCUAUCAAGAUACGAAUUGGAGAAAAGCAAUUUCACCUAAAGAAAGACUCGAUAACUCUAAGGUUUAGUUACGUACCUACCUACUUAAGCCUACCUACAGGCGCGUUAUUAUCGGUUGAUAAGAUCAGAUGCGUUAUUGCCAUAUAUUAAAUCGACCGAUAAUAACGCGCCUCUGUGGGGGGGGGGGGGAAGCUUUACAGUACAGUACCGUCAGGAGCAAAAUGUUCUAGGCAACAUUCCAGUGAAUAUUUAAUAACUGACAAAGGUAAAUAAAAACAAGGAUUAAUCAUACAUCAUCAUUUAUUAAACAGAAAUUAACUUUUUUUUUAUUGCUUAGAUGGGUGAACGAGCUCUCAGCCCAUCUGGUGUUAAGUGGUUACUGGAGCCCAUAGACAUCUACAACGUGAAUGCGCCACCCACCUUGAGAUAUAAGUUCUAAGGUCUCAAGUAUAGUUAAAACGGUUGACCCGCCCCUUCAAACCGAGACGCAUUACUACUUCACAGCAGAAAUAGGCAGGGUCAAGAGGUCCUACCAUCAGAUAUUACGCAAAUUAUAAUUUUGCGGGUUUGAUUUUUAUUACACGAUGAUAUUCCUUCAACGUGGAAGUCAACCGUCAACAAUUGUUGAAUACGUAUUUUAUUAGAAAAAUUGGUACCCGCCUGCGGGAUUCGAACACCGGUGCAUUACUCAACACGAAUGCACCGAACGUCUUAUCCACGGCGACUUCAUUUAAAUAAAACAUAAUCUUUCAUAUCAAUAGCACUCCCCUCUACUAGAUAUGAAGAUUGGCUAAAUGAAGUAUUUGGAAAAUUUGAAUUGUGAAAGAGCGAAUGCUGGGUUUGAGAUGGAUCAGGCUGAGAUUGAGAAAUGACAGUAGUAUUACGAGAUAGAAUUUGGGGAGAAGGAGUUUGACGGAUAGUAUUUGGACAGGGUGACGGCGUAUUUGGGUUGUAAGAUGAAUACGAUGAAGAUGAUGGUCGAUACUGCGACAAAGUGGAACUGGCUCUAGGUGACAUGAAAUUUUCUGGUGAAUAUUUAUUUGCGCUGUUAAGUGCAUUCAGAAUUUCAAUUUUAGCGUAAUGUUUUUGCUCCGUUGAAAAUUUUCUGACCAUUGGUAUGAUCAUUUCACAAAAUGAAACAUCCUCAUCAUAUUUUUUGUCCUUCAAUAAUUUCAAUAUUUCAUCCUCGCAAUUAUUUUGAAUUCUACCCUUUUUACGCAUGCUCGUUUUAAGUUUUCUAUUUCGUAUAGCUUCUGAGUCAGUAUCUUCGUCGUCGGUUUGAUUAGUAAGGUCUUCGGCAUUGCUGUUGGUGUUUUCUGUAUCUCUGAUAUUGUUUGUUGUAUCUCUUAAAAAAGUAAUUUAAUUGUUAUGUAAACUUAUGUAGGUGCUGACUUGUCUGUUUGUAAUUUAUAUUAUUGGUAUUACAUAUUUUUUAAUGAUUAUUGCAGGUAUUUGGUUUCAGGAAAUAGCUACUUUUCGCUGUAUUACGAAUAUCUUAUUGGUAUCUCUACUAUUGGCGAAAUUAUAGAAGACACGUGUGAAAAACUAUGGUCAUGUCUACAACCUUCAUACAUACAUGACAGAACUAGAUGAAACUGGUCCCAUUACUGCUGAAAUUGUCCAUAAAAUAACCCAUUUUCGACACUGCUUAGGAACGGUGCAUGGAAAGCAUAUAAGGUGCGAAGAGCCGGAUUGCGCGGGUUCCGAGCUUUAUAAUUAUAAACGAUAUCACUCCUUGAUUUUAAUAGCGGUUGCUGAUGCAAAUUAUUAUUUCAUCAGCGUUGACAUAGGUGCUUAGGGCAGCAGUAGUACUACAAUUUUUUUAAAUUCUACAUUUUUUUUUAUUGCCUUUGUACACAAGUUUGGCACAAGUUCGUCAAUUCAACAUGCCACCAUUGAAAAACUGCGUGGUGCAGAAAACUACUCCACGUGGAAGUUCUCCAUGCGGAUGUUAUUAAUCCAUGAAGAGUUAUGUGAUUCCGUCACGGAUAAAUGGGAAUUGACGGAAGCCAUGAAGAAAAGAGCGAAAAGUCAUUGGCACGUAUUGCGUUGUCGGUGCAGCCAGCGGUCAUCCCAUGCAUCCGCACCGCCACCAGCGCACACGAGGCGUGUAAUAACCUAAGUAAGGCGUUCGGAGGGCGCGGCUUGUAUAGGAGACUUGGCAUACUGAGAAGUCUCUUCGGUGUCAAGUUAUCGUAUAGCAGUUCAGUUAUCGGAUAGCAGUUCCAUGGAAGCCUACAUCAAUAAAAUUAAAGAGUUGGCGUGUCAACUGAGUGAAAUGGAAUCCGCAUUGGAUGAUGAGUUUAUUGCCGUUAUAAUGCUAAGUGGGCUCACAGAAGAUUUUGACCCCCUCAUCAUGGCAAUUGAGAACUCAAAUGUAAAACUCACCACGGAACUUGUCUCAGGAAAACUCUUGGCAGAAAACCAGAGGCGUGAGGAGAAACAAGAUAUCACUGCGUUGGUAACCAAGAAGCCACCGAGAUGCUUCAAGUGCAAAAAUGUGGGUCAUAUUUCUAAGAAUUGUUCCAACAAAGGAAGCUUCAAGGAGUCAGCGGACGUAGGAGGCAACAAAGGCAAAAAUAAAUCCAGAUAUCAGACUAGGAACAAUCCGAAGCAGAAUAUCCCAAAGGACAAAGCGCUCUUUGCAGCUCUGUCUGUAAAAAUAAGUAGUGAUGUGUGGUACAUUGACUCCGGUGCUACUAAUCAUAUGUGCAAUGAUAAAAAGUACAUGAUGGACUUCCGACCUAAUAGUGUGGAUGUGAGCAUCGUGAAUGGUGAAAAGCUACGAACAGGUGGCAUUGGACAUGUAAAAGUAUUUGAACUUUUACAUGUCCAAUGCCACCUGUUUGAAAGACUGUAUAAGAACAAUAAGUGAUGUGUAUUAUGUUUCUAAUCUUAGUACGAACUUAUUGUCAGUAAGUGCCAUAACAAAGAAAGGGUAUACUGUUGAAUUUAAUAAUAAAUUAUGUAGGGUCUAUGACAAACAUGAAUGUCUAGUAACAGGUACACAGACAAGUGGUGUCUAUCAGCUGGAUACUGUGUCAGACAACGGCUGUGUCGUCGCUUCGGCUGUGAUGGCUUCGGCAAAGAUUCACACUGCUAAUGCGGCAACGAUGUUAUCUCAGGAGGUAUGGCCCAGAAGACUCGGGCACCUAAACUCGAGGAGUAUGCAAUUGCUACAAAAAGGUAUGUCUAGUGGCAUUUCAUAUAGUUUGUCUGAUUUUAAACAGUGUAUUCCUUGUAUAGAAAGUAAACAAAGUAGACUCCCUUUUCCCAAAAAGUCACACACUAGAGCUAAGGAAAAAUUAGGUCUUGUACAUAGUGAGUGACCUUUGUGAUCCCCUUCAGGUCCCUUCAUUCAGUGGUGCUAGGUAUUUUCUAAGUUUCAUUGAUGACUUCUCCAGGAAGCAAUAUGUUUAUUUUUUGAAUACAAAAAUGAAACUUUUCGGUAUUUCCAACAAUUCAAAGCUCUUGUUGAGAAAGAAACGGGAAAGGAAUUAAAAAUACUUAGGACUGCUAGGGGCGGUGAGUAUAUGGGUGAGUUUCAGGAAUUUCUCAAGAAGAAUGGCAUCCAACACCAGAAAACUAUUGCGGAUAGUCCGCAACAGAAUGGUGUUGCUGAACGGGCCAAUAGGUCCGUCAUAGAGAAGGCAUGGAGUAUGCUGCGGGAUCCUAGGCUGGGAAUGAAAUUUUGGGCUGAGGCUGUGAACACUGCCGUAUACCUUAAGAACCGAAGUCCAACCAAAGCUGUGAUAGGAGCUACUCCGGAGGAAAAAUGGUCCAACAAAGGUAAAUCUGCACCAUUUAUGAAUCUUUGGAUGCAAUGCCUAUGCAAUGAUAAAGAAUAGGAAGAAAUUAGAAUCAAAAAGUAAACCAUACAUAUUUGUGGGCAACAGUUAGGAGUCAAAAGGCUAUAGACUCAUAGACCCACAUGAUCCCACGUUGUGUUUUUGCCCGUAACAUAGUUUUUGUUGAAACAAAAUUCUAUGAACAAAAAAGUGUGUCACAUGAUGAAAAUUCAGACCAACACAUGUUUGUUGACAUGAGUUUAAAUACAGAUGGUCCUCAUGAGUUGGAGCUACCCACUGUGAGUUCUGAUGUUUCUGAUGACACAAUAUUAUCACAGAGCGGACACAGAAAACAGAGGCAUAGCGCAACCACAUUGGACGGUUCUGAUAGCGGAGAAACGGAUUAUGAUGCAAAUGACUGCUUGGAUGAAACAUGUUCCAGGGGACGAUUCACUAGUUGAAGCAGAGGAGACAGAUUAUUCAUAUGAAGAUUUGCAAGACUCUCCGCAGCAAGCAAGAGGGCAAGCUUCGUGAGAUUAGUCGACAACCCUGAUGAUCCCCAGACUGCAGCCGAGGCCUUAAACGGGCCUGAAUCGAACAGUUGGAGAAAGGCAAUGGCAGAUGAGUAUAAUUCCUUUGUUAAGAACAAGUGUUGGACCCUGACUGAGCUUGAACCCAGCCACAAACCAGUCAAAAGUAAAUGGAUUUUCAAAAGAAAAUAUGGAGCAGAUGGAGAGUUACUAAAGUAUAAAGCUCGUUUAGUGGCCAAGGGUUACACACAGAAGUACGGUAUUGAUUACCAAGAGACUUUUUCACCAGUGGUAAGGUACUCUACAAUUAGGAUUUUACUUGCUUUAGCAGCUGAACAUGGCCUGUCCAUUGAGCACCUGGAUGUCAAAAUGGUGUUCCUUAAUGACGACCUCGAGGAAACUGUAUACAUGGAGCAGCCAGAGUUCUUUCAAGAAAAAGGAAAAGAGAACAUGGUGUACAGGCUAAAUAAAGCUGUGUACGGCUUAAAACAGGCAUCCAAGACAUGGUAUGACAAAAUUACAAAGAUUUUGUGUCACAAACUACUAUUCAAGCAAUUAAGCACUGAGCCAUGUGUCUACUUUAAAAGUGAAAAUAAGUCUAUGAUGAUAAUAGUUCUCUAUGUCGAUGACCCAUUGUUUUCACAUCCCCCAACUUUCAAGGAAAACAGAAAAUAAAGAGAGCACUGGAGGAAGAAUUUGAUAUCACUGAUUUAGGGCCAGCACAACAUGCGUGUAUAUUGGGCAUGCAGCUGAAAGAAAUAGGUGAUAAAAUUUGUCUUAAUCAAACUAAUUAUAUAAAUAAGUUGUUACAGAAGUUUCGAAUAGACGAGUGUAAGCCUGAACGCACACCUAUGGAGACUGGUCUAAAGCUAGCCAAGGAAAAACAGGCGGAUCAGAUCUAUGACUACAGGGGCUUGAUUGGCUCUCUGAUGUAUGUUGUUGUUUGUACUAGACCGGACAUCAGUCACGCAGUAAGCUAUCUCAGUCAAUUUAAUAAUUGUUAUGGUGAAACCCAUUGGAAAGCCGCUAAACGAGUGUUAUCAUUAAAAGUUACAAUUGAUUUAAACCUUAUUUUUCUAAAAGUGGUAUGGAUAUUUCUGCAUAUGCUGACGCUGACUGGGCAUCUGACAGCAUGGAUCGUAAGUUAUUCACAGGCUUUGUAUUUCUUAUUGGUAGAUCUGUUGUUACUUGGGAAAGUCGCAAGCAACGCACUGUAUAGCUUAGAGAGACUAUUCGUGACAGGGAAGAUCGAGGGAAAAAGACCGCGCGGGCGCAGUCCGACAAGGUGGUUCGACCAAAUCCGCACCACACUGGAGAUCCUAUUCCACGAUGCCCUUCAUGCGGCCAAUGAUCGGAGGCGCUGGCGGAACAUUACAAGGAGCAAAAUCCUGUCGACAUGAUGGUCACGACUCUCAGCAGUGAGGAAACGACGCGAGGAGGAGUUCUGCGGCGGAUGAAUCCCUAAAAAAGAAGAACUCUGCUGUCAAGAAAAUCCCUUCUCCUCCAUGGUGGGAUACAGAGUGCACGGAAGCUAUUAAAAAUAAAAAAAUACAGAAAAAGACUUUUUUCGCAACAUCAAUUUGACUAACUUUCUCCAAGUACGUAAUUUAGAAGCUGGUACAAAGCGGUUACUUAAAGAUAAAAAGCGUAAGGCAUGACGAAAUUUCUGUUCCUCUCUUUCCCCAGAAACUCCAUCAUCGGUUAUUUGGAAGAAUAUGAAAAAAUUUAGAUGUUCACGUUCACCAGACAACCUAAACAAUAUUUCAACUGCUUGGGUGGAUCAAUUUUUAAACAAUCUAGGCCCCGCAACUGUUCCAUCCUCUGAUUUAAUACCGUUAGAUUUUUAUUUAUGGAUGGAAUUCCCUAUUCUUUUAUUUGUAAGGCGAAAAAGUCAACACACCUCUAUCUUCUUAAUUUGUUAAACCUAAUAUAUAGCAUUGGUACUGUUCCACCAAAAUGGAAACAUCAAAUAAUCAUUGCUAUCUCUAAACCAGGUAAACCAGGACACAUGGUGUCAGAAGUAAGGAAUUUAAGGAAAUUAAGGAAAAUAUUAAAUAGAAAUACAAAAAUAUCCGUGAAAUUAUGUUCAAAAUGGAUAAAGUCGAAAACACACAACAUGGCGGACAGGGACGCGCAAGUAUCACGGUGUCUUUGGAGACAGGUUUUAGUAUGUGCUCCCGAUUUCUCCUGAAUGUUCCUUCUGGGGACUGAAUAGUAUAUAUAACUACGACGUUCGUUUUCUGCUUGUUUUAUACGACCUGGAACCCAUGAACUAUUGGGCUUGUGUUUGAAAUAUAUUUUAUCACCAACUUGUAAAUCUGACAACUGUUUUGUGUGUUUAUUAUAAUAAAAUGUUGAAUAUUCUUUCUGCUUUUCAAUGUUUUUAGAUAAUGUUUUAGGUGGUAAUUGAGUGUGUGACUGGUAUUUUAGAUGUGCUGGAGAAUAACCACUUUGUUUUGGUGUAUUCCUGUACAUAAGCAUUGCAAUUAAAGAUGGCGUUAACGGUUGAAUUUAUUUAUCUGUUAACUGGUAAUUGAUAAAUUUUCUUACCGAUAUUUUUAUUGGUUGAAAAUACCGGUAAAUCUUUUCGUUGAAAAAUUAAUUUUGCUAAUGUUAAACUUGAAUGGUAGAGUUUCUUACAUUUAUUUUCGAUUCAGUGAACUUUCCUUCAUACUUCUACACUGUAGAAGUAAGAAGUAGAAGCUACAGGCUUAGGGCUGACUAGCUUAACUAAUUAGUACGAAAUGAUAAUAUCUUAUAAUAAUAUUUAUUUAUACGCUAGUUUUUUUCCUAUUUUUCUGUUAUUGUUAUUUAGAACGUAAUUACUUAUUUACAUUUUUAUUUAUAUCAACGUAGUUGUUUUUUUAUUAACUUAUUUAAAUAUUUCACAGUAAAUUAAAUUUUAUUACAGCUUAGGAACAUAAUUUGCGCCACUUUUGAUGUUGUGAGACGAGUUCUCCGAUCGUUUAUAAUAUAUCCUGCCUUAGAAAAGGCCCGUUCACAAGAAACUGAUGUCACCAUAAUGUUGCAUUUGGUUUUAAUUUUUUUAUAUAAAAUUAGAUAUAUACAUUUGUGUAUUCGCCACCAAUCUAAUGGACAGGCUUUUCUAGAAAUUACUUUCUCCUUAAUAUACAUCUCCAGUUCUUUUUCAGCUUUUGUCUGCGCUGUCUUGGGAGCAUGCGAAGUUAUUAUCUUUAAAUCAAAUUCCCCUCAUAUAGACAAAUCAUCGUCAUCAAUAUUUUGCUGGUCUUGAAUAUCUGCCGCCACUUCUCCACUAGUUUGAAUUAAUUUUACCAUCAAUGCUACAACGAAUGCUUUUGUUUCCUCUAAUGACUGAGACUCAGAGAAUGCCACGUCUUUGUAAUGUGAAUCCAAUAGUGUGCACAUGGUAAUGUGUACAUUGUUUAUUAUAUCUCCUAGCUUUUCUGUCAGACUUUGUUUUAGUUUUCCUACCAUAUCAACCACAGGCGCAUAAAAAGUUCUGGAUGCCAGCUGUCACAAACAUACAUGAGACUCGAGACCAGGACCAUAUCGGUACUCGCGGUAAGAUAAUUUUCUCCACUCAUUAUCUUACUGACCUCAUAAAAUGGUUUUAAAACAACGCACAUUUGCUCGAUGCACUCCCACUCUUCGUUAGGUAUUAUAGGCAUAGAGAUAUUCAUAGUAACAACUGUUGCUUGAAUUGCUUCCUUUAACGUAUAAAACCUCUCCAGCAUUUAAUAAGUGGAAUUCCACCUGGAGGAAAUGGCUUUUACAAGGCUCCUGGGCUGUUGGACAUUCAAAUUGUUAAUCUGAUAUUUCAACAGUUUUUCUUUGCCAAUACAGCUCUUUUUGAAAAAUGAUACCGUUCUGGUAACCUUGUCUAUAGUAUCUUUAUUUGUUUUUAAAGCGUCCUGGACUAUUAAGUGUAAUUUAUGCUCUAAACAGCCAAAGUGAUUCCAGUUUAAAAUAGAGCUAGCUCCUAACAUGUUUGUUGCAUUGUCUGACACAAAAAAUAUAAUCUUUUGAGUUAUACCCCAUACAUCUGCUAUCGUCUGGAGUUCCUGCGCACUUUUAAUAGCUGUAUGACUGCCAUCGAGUUGAUCACAUUGUAGUAAAAUGGAUUUCAAUUGUAAGUCUUCAGAAAAAAAAUGAGCUGUGACACCCAUAUAUUGAUCCAAAGUUCUUGAGGAUCAACAGUCGACUGUAAUACAUACAUUCUCUGCAUUAUGCUUAACAUAAUUAAGAAAGUAUUGCUUACGCUCUUCAUGACAAGCAGGUAGCAAAGACGACGAUAUUGUCUUUCUGCUCGGCAAAUCGUAGGACGGAUUUAAGGCAUGUACAAAUUCCUUAAAACCAAUAUCCUCAACAAUUGAAAAGGGUUGACAAUCAUAUGCUAUAAGCUUGAUGAGGCAUUUGUCUAUAAUUUUCUUAUCACCUGGGCGAAGCUUCUUAGGUAAAUAGGACGACAUCAUGCGUUGUACUUUAUUAGGCGGUUCAUGAGAUGAGGAUGCUGCAGUUGUAGCCCUAACGGCUCCACCACCAGCGCCACCAUCACCACCACCACCACCACCACCACCACCACAACUACCGCCGUCGCCACUAACUACUACUGCCGUCACAACUACGAGCCCCAUCACCAGUUACAACCUUCCUCUGACAAUGAAAUUCACCACUUGCCCUAAGUGUUCCUCGUGUCAAAUUUGAAUAUACGCUGACGUGCUUUAAUUUUAAAUGAGAUUUCAAAUUGUUAGUACUAGGUAGUACUAACAAUUUGAAAUCUCAAUAUAAAGGUUUAUAUGAUAGAUUUUUCUUACAAUAAUUACACACUGCAAUUUUUUCCGCUCCCAAGCACUUUUCGAAAUGAUCCCAUAUUUCUGCAUUGCGUUUCGGCAUUUUAAAUUAAUUAACUUUAAAAAUCCACAACAACAAAGUAAGCAAAGUCUCAAACACACAAAAACAAAGUCAAAACACACAAACACAAAGUAAAAAUCUCUUAAAAUACAAAAACACAACUUUACCAAAACAAUAGAAAAGAUGCACUGAGCCACCAAAAUGUCAAGUACCAAACAAAAUAUUACGUUUAAAAAAUCAACCAAACACGUCAUAUUCGCUAUCGCUAUCAUUUUAAUGUUUUAACAAAAAAAAUUAUCAUUAACUGUAAAAUACCAAGUUAAAUAUUGUGCUUUAUUUUGAGGGGUAUAGAGCAUACAAUGAAAUCAUCAAAAUUCAAUAUUUACAUGAUAAGUUGAAAACAUCUGCAAGGCGUAAAUGAAUCUUACGUGUUGAAAUAAAGUUGAAACUUGCAUAUAUAUAAUUUCCAAUAAUUGCCUAUGCGACUACACGCAAUGUGUUUGUUAAACGGUAUUUUUAACCAUUUUCGGUAAUUUUAUUUAUCGAAUAGAAGUGUUAAUAUUUUUACCGGUAAAUUUAUUGGUUAAUGGUUAUAUUAGCCACCACUAAUUGCAAUCUGUAUUGUCUGCUUUACAUUUAUUCAAUACUAGCUGUGCCCGCGACUCCAUCCGCGUGGAAUAGCGACUUUGGGCAGCAGUUUUAGGACAUAUCUUUUGGUUUAUAAGCACCGUCAUUUAGGUAUUUAGAAAAAUCUAAUUUAAAGUAAUGCUUCUCUAUACACGACAUAGACGUAUAGCCAUCGGGGAUCAAAGCAUACAGGUUGCUAGGAUUGCUAACAUGUGACAGAGCUACAUAACCGUGUGACCGAGUUGACUGUGUGAAAAGCAAUGAACACACACUUAUAUCUUACACCCACAACUUUUAGCGUCUGACCUUGGGCUUUAUUUAUUAUCAUCACGAAGCAUAGGCUCAAUGGAAACGCGAUCGGUAGUGAGUUGUGCCUCCCGUUCUUCUAGUGUCUCCCGAGACCGGGCAAGAUUUUGCUGUCCGAACUCUCUGAGAUCUCAGACGGAUUUCCCUAUCAAUAAAGGUCUCAGACCAAGCGAUAGUGCAUGCGCCUCGCGAUCGGCAGUGAGACGUGCUUCUCAUUCUGCAAGUCUCUCCUGAGACCGGGCACUUACUGUCCGAACCCUCUGAGAGCUCAGACGGAUAUCCCUAUCAGUAAAGGUCUCAGACUCAAGUGAUAGUGCAUGAGCCUCGCAAUCGGCAGAGAGACGUGCUUCUCGUUCUUCAAGUGUCUCCUGUGACCAGAUAAUUGCUGUUCGAGCCCUCUGAAAGCUCAGAUGUCACGAGAACGGGAGACGUCUCGAUUACGCGAGCCAUUUCGACGAUGCCGAGAACAUCCACGUGAUGUACUUCGCGGCAUUAUUUAGGUGUAAAUACACACGCACGCACUUUAAAAUGACUAUACACAAGGAAAUAUACGUAAAAAAAACACGCAAACGAAAGUAACAAAAUAUGGUGCGGGUAGUUGUGAAUCAACGAUAUUCGACAUGGGAGUCGUAACUGUCCGUAGAAUAUCGGUGGUCUGUUCAGCGCGCGCCUUAUCGUUAGAACGUGUCGCGACAGCUUCAAUCGUGCGCGAGCGCGAUCUCGACCUCCCGCGACGGGCACUACGAGAGCGGUCCUACUACGCAGUACGCUGGUCUCAGACCCGCAAGCCAUCCCGUGAAGUACGACCUCUAUCGUUCGUAUCGCGAUUCUGUCUAUCAUCUCUGUGAUCGCAAAAGCAUGUCGUUUUCAAAAUUUGCAAUCGCACAAGAAAAUUAACAAAUAAAGUAUGAAAGCAUCAAAGUAAGCCGUAAUUGUAAAACAAAACAAAGUUCAGAGUUUUUACGCUACUGUGGGCUAUUUGAGUCAUUUAUCCCACUUCUGAUUUUAGGAAUCACGACAGAAUGUUGAGCAAAUAGGUCGACAAAACAAGUUUAAAUAAAAUGGCUUACGUAUACCGAGUAGUCCGCAGACGUCCGUACCAAGCGCCGGUCAAUGCUCAACUGCCGUAGCCGCGCCAAAUACGGUGCUUUUAUAGGCUUACUCGGUAUAGUGCGUUUAGCUAGUGGGGGUACGUCUAACAGCUAGUGGGGUACAUCUAACGAUAUAAUAAUUAUUAUUAAAAACAAAAAAAUAAUUAAAUAAUUAAAGUAGAUUCCAGCUAAAUAUAUCUCUAAUUAGGUCAUCUUCCAAUGAAUUAAAAUAUUUUUUUAAUCUGUUACAUAGUUGUCUAUCGAUUCUUCGAGAUUUUGUCUUCGAUUGAAUAGUUUAUGACGUUCCAUUGUCACAUUCAUUUGAGGAAUGAAGUGAUUACUAAAUUUCGACGCUAAUUCUUCGAAGGAUAUUGUAUCAAUAUCGACACUAAAUGAAUAAAAUAUCACUAACGCGUCUUGCCCAAUGUGAUGUAAAUAGAUGGCGACUUUGCGUUGAUCACAGUCAUCGUCCAGAUUAUUAGCUCGCAUGUAUAUUUUAAGUUGAGUAUACCAGUUUUUCCAAGUUAAGGGCAUGUUCGAGCUUCUCAUGUCUAAGAGUUUGAGCCCAUAUCGACGCCUCCAAUUAACACUACGCUAACUCCAAAUUCGUAGAUUUACAGGAGGAGCGUUUAAACGAAAAAAGUUGAUAAAAUCUUUAUUAUUGCAGAUAUAUUUAUGGUUUUUUUGUGUAACUAGCUGAUUUACUCUUGCUUCAAACCCCAUCAAUAAUGAUUAAUUGUAAUACUUUUAACAUGGUGCAGCGAUUUGCGUAAAAAAUGAAAAUUUCAAAAUUUUGAGUUAGAGUAGUGUUCAUUGGUAAGGAGGCAGUCUCCUCUCGCUGAUGGUCACGGGGCGACCUAAGGGGGUUGAGGCUGCGCCGCACGCUACCGUCACUCUAGCGCGCUGGCACCAGGAGGACGGGACGGCGCGUCGGCGGCUGCGGACUGCGAUACGGUCCGCAUUUUCGUCGUCGCUGUCGUCGCCGAACAUACUGUUGAAGAGCAACCCGGUCGGCGGUGUAUCGGUUUCCGACCCGGCAGGCUGGUUCUGGCCCAGCGGGGUAUCCCGGAACACCAGCGGCACCGCCCGGGUGGCCUGGUAGGGCCGCCGUACCGCGGAGACCGACGUCGUUGGUCGUCGACUAUCGCCUCGACGACCCGUCGGUCGGGCGUCCUCGGGAUGGCGCCGCGUGUCUGGUUGUAGUGUUGACCGCGGGAACCCCCCUACUCUGAACGGGUUCUGACCCCGGACGGAGAUCGGACGUCGGGUGUAAGAGUGCAGGGGAGUCGUUUAGUGGGUGGGCCCUAAAAUCCUUGGGCCCGCGAUCUGCUCUCAACACCUGCAGAUCGUUGAGUCUCACAUACCCCGCGCGCCCCCUAGGCGCGGGGACCUCGUAAGAGGUUCGGCCCCCGGCCCGAAAAAAAAAAAAAAAAGUGUUCAUUAGUGGCAUCGAUAUGUGACUGAUAUAGCAUUAAGUGACUUACUUGCGCGUCCCUGUCCGCCAUAUUGUGUGUUUUCGACUUUAUCCAUUUUGAACAUAAUUUCACGGAUAUUUUUGUAUUUUUAUUUAAUAUUUUCCAAGCAUGUGUCAGAAGUGAGGAAUUUGAACCAUCAUAGAAUGGCCGAGUUGUGGCAUAACUAUAUUUUAUAAUAAAACGACAUGAGCUCUGCGUGUGACUUGUUUGAAUGGCGGAAGUAGUCUGGCAGUAUUUGCAUAGAUUACAUUCUUUACCUAACAGUUCUAUUAAAAUUGAUGUAUGUUAAGCGUGUGGAGCGAUUUUAAAAAUAGCACCAACAAGAAAGCGGUACGCUUGUAUAGAUUUGCUAGUAGGACUGGUGGUGGACCUGCAUUAAAUACUUAACUGACUGAGUUGGAACAAACAGUUUUAAAUGUUAUUGGUAUGCAGACCGCGACAGGUUUAGCGGUGGCUGAGGUAGGAAUUUCGCAGGCUAUUACUAUUUUUAGCUGCUUGGUACAUUUAAGAUAAUUGUUAGUUUACAUGGGAUUUGCAUUUAAUUAAUUUCAGGAUUUUGCUGUAUCACAACCCCGAACUCCGGUACAAUUUGGCGAUACAGGUAGAUCAAAAGGCCAUUCAAUAACCCUUUUAUAAACAAAUAGGAUGGGACUGACUUUUCUUUUUGUUUGUAAGUGUUGAACUAUGUAAUGAGCCUGGACCUUCUGGUCGAAUAUAUACAGAACCAAGCACAUCCAGCGAGACCCAGGUCGAGACAACGCCUCAUAGCCAGGUAUUCAAUGUAGAUAUUGAAAUUGUAGAAAGUAAACUAUUAAUAUAUUUUAUUUACAUAACGUGAAAACAUACAAAGAACAUCCUUGUUUUUUUUACAAUCUAACAGCAUUUAUUAGCAGAUACAAUCAAGUUUUUUCUGUUGUCAAAUUUAGCAGAUGUGGUACCAACAUCAUAUCCGGAGUCUGUCGUUACUGCAACUCAGUCUCCUGUGCGGUAUGUACCAACCACACCGCGCCGUAGCCGGCUAACACAGGCAGAGCACGCUGCACUUCUUUUUAGAAACUCAGAUUCAAAUUGGACAGCAUUUAAAAUUGACCAACAUAGAGAUUACAUGGAAAUGCGAAAAGAUCGGAAUAUAGUAAGAGAAAUGGGAGUGCAGGCUCAGAGGGAAUGGCAAGUCAUAGGUUUAAUACCAUUAGACUUAUUAAAUCAAGUAGUUAAUUAUUUUUGUAAAGCUUAAAUUUGUAAAUUAGAUAUAAUUUUGUAAAAUAGUAUAACCUAAUUGUUAUCUUCAAUUAUUAUAUUAUUUAUUUAUUUAUUUGGGAAACAAACAGUACAAUAGAAACAUAUAAUAUUUUAAAAAUAUAGUUAAAACAAUAACCAAAUACGUUUCCACAAUCAAAAUUCAAAAGAGGAGAAAUUUAGAAACUUAAGUUACAAAAAAACAAAAGCAACACAAUACCCACAUAUUAUUUUGUACAUCAACUUAAACUAUAAGACUAUAAUAAUCAUCGGACUAAAUUACCUUAUAAAUAUUUUAAAAUAGCUUUUCUAUAUGCUAAAAGUGACAAGCAAAAUAUGUCAGCAUUAGGAACUUAGCAUCAUACAACCUACAAGAUCUAUGGACAAAAGAGUUGAAAGCGUAUUUCGUUCGAACCGUGGACAUGUGGAAGGUCCGUUUAGGACGCGCGGAAAUACGACUACAUUUAAGUGAAAAUUUGGAAAAAAGAUAGCUAGUAUCAAUCUCACUAUUUAUUAUUUUAUAUAAAAACAUUUGAUCCCUCAGUAGCCUACGAUCGGCCAGAGAUAUAAAUUCUGUCGGUUCUGGUGAGUUAAAGCGACGACAAUGGUAUGAAAUAUGCUUAAAAAACAUUUUUGUGGACUCUUUCCAGUCGCUCAAUAUAAAUGUUAUAUCUUCCACGUGAGAAUGUUAUAAUAGUACACUUGUUAGUAUUCACUGUAAGUUAUUUUGACAGUAAACAAAUAAGUUGUUCAAAUCAUUCUGUAAUUCCAAACAGUCAUUUAAGGACUUUAUAACUUUAUAUACUUUUUUGUCAUCAGCGUACAUAAUGAAUUUGGAUUUUUUGAAAACAUUUGAAACGUCAUUAAAUAACAUAGGACCGAGAUGAGAGCCCUGAGGAACUCCCGAGGGAACAGGUGCAAAUGAAGAACAAAAACCAUUGAAAGUCACAGCCUGACUGCGAUCUCUAACAUAAGACUCAAGACAUCGCAGCAAAUAACCGUGACCCCAAGUCCAUGCAAUUUCUCAAUCAAAAUGUCAAAAUUUAUUCGAUCGAACGCUUUGGAAUAAUCCGUGUACACUACAUCAUCCUGGUGACCAUCCUCCAUGGCGUUCAAUACGCAAUAUGGCAUUCAAUAAUCCAUCCAUCCUCCAUGGCAUUCAAUAAUCCAAAAACUCACAGAAGUUUGUCUCACAGAAGUAGAUCUAUGGCUUAUAAAACCAUGUUGCUGCUCUAUAAUAUGAGGCUUAAUCAAUGGAAAUAAAAAAUCAUAAACUAUACGUUCAAACAUCUUAGGGAUGGCACAAAUUUUAGAAAUUGGCCUGUAGUUAGCUAUGUUAUGUUUAUCACCGCUCUUAAAAACUGGCACCACGAAUUAUCGCUUCCAAAUACGGGGCAUAGCACCAGUUGAUAAUGAGAGAUUAAAAAGAAGAUGCAGUGGGUAACACAGCUGAGUGUAACAUUGUCGCAAAAAAACAUAGAAACAUAGAUACAUUUAUACAUAGAUAAAAAAAAAGACUGAUGAAAGACUGAGAAAGAUGCUAUUCUUAUUCUUUUAUUUUUAUUUAGGCUUUUUUCUUUUAACUAUUGUUUAUCUCCAUACUAAACAUAACUAACUAAAAUAACAGAAAAAAUAAAAUCUAAAUAAUGAAAUAAAGAAAUGGAUCAAUGAUCAUAUUAUAAUCUAAGACACAAUUAUUGCUGAUAUAAUCUUCUAACUAAUCCCUUAGUACCCUGUCUCUUAUUAAAUCGGCUGUAGAACUUGUUUCUCUCAUCAUCUCAUCAUGGCAUUGGUAAUCAUCAUUUUCUAGACUUUAAAAAAAAUAUAUUAAUAGGAUACAAAUGAUUUUGUCGAAUAUUAAUAUCAUUGAGUAAAAUUUAAACUUGUAUACAUUUAUAAAUUCAUACAUACAUUGUUACGACUGCUCUGGGGUAGACCGGUGUUUUAAAUAAAAGAGUGGACUGCAUUAAUAUUUAGUAAAUUUAUAAUAAGAGUAAAACAAGUAAGUGUCGCGGGUGGUGUCCGUGCAUCGACAUACAUUAUCUGCAUCGUCUACAGUAUCAUAAUUAAUGCCUCUAUUAUGCAAAACACAACGGGCUAGUAUGAUUCUAGCACAUUUUAGAGGUUUAUAAUGAAGAACCCUGUCUUUAUUAAGGCACCGCCAACGAUUUUUGAGUUUUCCAAAUGUGUUUUCAAUAACAACUCUAGCUCUCAUAUGCUUCUGAUUAUAAUUACUUUGAGGUGUAUUUGGGGGUAGCAUUCAAAAUUGGAGUCAUCAGCCAUGGAGGUUGCGGAUAGCACGAGUCUCCUGAAACAAAAAUUAAUACAGAUACAAUUUCACAUAAUCCUAUCAUAUAAUGAUAUUUUAUUAACCAACCCAGUCUCACUUUGCUGUGGUUUUAAUGAAGCUCUGGCAUGACUAACCUCUGUAGUAGAGACAGACUACUUACUGUUUACCUUUAUUCCAAUAUCGAUCAUGCACUUGUCUACCCUUUAAUUUUACUCUUAAUUUAACCAAUAUUUUGUUUACCUAAAUUAUUUUGGUGCAACAACUGCAUGUAUUGAUUUAAGUGACUAUUAUUCCAUAUAAAUGAAUUAUGAUUUGCACCUCCGAAUUUAGCAUUAACGUUGACGAUUCUAUAUUCAUCAUCACAUAGUGUAAAUAUUAUAUUCAUUUAUCUGGGAAACCGAACGUUUUCGAGUGAAAGGGAUGAAUUUAUGAGGAAGAAAGGGACGGAAGACGAGGGUCAGGUCAAGAUGGCGAUCGGGCAUAGUAAGAGUGUGAACGACUGUGAACGAUUACGACGUGUUAUCUAAUAAAUUUUGUUACUUUUCCAAAAAACUGCUAUUUACUUUGAGCAAAUCCCACAUUUAUAAUGCAGUAAAGUCAUUCUUACAAUAAUUAGAUGGUAAAGAAAAAUUUUACUUAUUUACCAUUUGGACGUUAAUAGAAUGAUAGUGUUUUCGGCAAUAAUACUGAUGCUCUUCUCUUUUAGGAAGCCCAAAUAUUCUAAAAUGAAAACAGUCUAUGCAUCCAAUUACACCUGGUGUUUGAUGUUUAUAAAAAAAUCUGAAAUUGAUAAUAUUAUAAAUACCAUUGGAACUAUAAGUACCUUAUUAACCAUUAGAAUUUCUAUUCUUUAUCCAAAUACUAGACAUAUAGUUUCGCUCAUCCUGUACUACAGCGGUCGAUAGCAUCUUCCAAGCAAAAAAAUUACGUGCUGCCAUCAUCGAAUUAUACUUAUUUAAUGGGUACCUAAUAUUUUGAUCUACUUGUACUGUAAAAACAUAUUUUUUGUAUAUUUUAUGGCCUGGUAACGAGACCUUUAUGCCAACGUAACACAACAAAAUCAACAAAAAGAACAAAAAAUGUUUUUUUAGCGACAACUUUAAUUUGCUGAAGUAAAGUGAAGUGAAGAAAUACUGACUUUUAGGCGGGAACGCGUAAAGCGAAGUUGUGUGAAUUGUUUUGUUUUGUCUAUAUAGUGAUUCUUCAGGUUUAAAUGUGUAAUAACGGUGGUUUACAUUUUGGUAAUAAAUGUGGGAAAAUAAAACAAAGCCGCUGGACGUAGCUUCUCGGAAUCUUCCAAAUAGUACACUGAAAAAGUUUCAGUAAAUAACCACCAUUUUAUACUAUAAUAAUAAUAAUAAUUUAUUUAUUAACCUUGAAAAACAUUUACACGACAGUUUGCUAAAAACUCUCCACACUAGGGACUGCCUGUCUCGUGGAGAGCUUUUUACAGAAGUAUCUUAAAACUAGUAAUAACGGUGCUGAAUAUACGAGAAAAUCAAAAUAGGUAAGCGAAUAUUAUGCAUGUAUAUAUACACACACAUAUAUAUAUACCUACAUACACACACAUACCCACACAUACACAUAUAUAUAAAAAGAAAAGGAACAGGUGUAAUGAUUUUUACCAUAGGUAUGUGUUUAGGGUCACUUAAUGCAUUUCAGAAACUCCUCCGAAAAAGAGUAGGACCAAUUAAGCAGUUCUUUUGUUAAUUUUCUUUUAACUUCUUCGUAAUUUAGGUUAAGAAUUUUGUAUUUUUUGUUGAGUCUGUUAUACAAGUAUGGUUUCAUGUAGGAGCUAAAUCGGCGAGCAAAAGCCGUCCUAACUGAGGGCGUCGGGAUUAUAGGAGUACGUUUUGUAGCAAGAACUUUGAAGUUGGUAAUUUUAGGAACUGCUCUGUGGUAAUCAAGGGCUGCCCUAAGGAUAAAUAUUCUUCUCACGCUCAGAACCCGAAAUUCUUUAAAGAGAGUGUCUGUGGGAUACCGAAAUUGUUUCUUUAAAAUAGUUUUCAAUACUGCUCUCUGAGCUCUUUUUUUCUUUCUUUUUACUGAUAUUAUAUUUCAUCCCAUAUCAUCUGAUCUCAUUUCAUUUCAUUUCAUGUCAAUUCAUCAAUGUUUCCAAUUAAUCAACUUUAUUUCAUUUCUCUCUAUAUCAUAUUUCAUUUAAAAAAAAAAUUUGGGCUGUAUGGUAAGAUAUCUUUGCCUCUCCAGUUAAAAAAUGUAAUAUAGAAAUACUCGAUCAAAAUGUCAGAAUCCACUAAUUUGUAACUCGCACUCCCACAAAUGUCAUUCGUGGUACUUCGGUAAAAUUACUCGAUUGCGAGACGGCAACGUUAAUAUGAACUCGCGCUCACAAAAUAACACCGGGUACGUUUGCCGCCAGGGGCGCUGUUCCAAUUGCAUACAAAUUUGAGCAAACUGGCUCGCUAUCGAGAACGUUAAAAAACCCGCACCAAGCACACAGAUAUCAGCACGCUGGAUUGGGGGAUAAUGGGCGAAAUAUGCAGUUUUACAACCUCUUGAAGUGGUUACUUGUUCAAUAAGUGGUGAGGGAUAUUUAACCGGCUACUUGUUCAAUAAGUGGUGAGGGAUAUUUAACCGGAAGUAUUAAAAAACUGUUUGUGAUGAGUUUUUGAACAAAAAAGAAUACAAACACUACAGACUCUUUUAUCCAGUAGUUGUGGAAAUGAUCACGUCUCUACACCCAGGUUUAAGAGAAUGAUUUUCUGGCGUCGAACACAGUAAAAUCAUUGGUCUUUGUACGUUAUUAGACCCUAGGUUUAAAUUACUGUUUUAAAAACGAGCAAGCUGUCGCAGAAUUAAAAAAACAUGUUCACAUGUUAACAGUAAGUAUUAUUAAUAAAAACAAUUGACAAAGACAAAUGAAGAUGUUGAAGAGAACUGAAAAAAUAUUGAAAAGGUUGGCGCUUGGAACAAAUUCGACCAACUUCAGCCCAAGCGAGAGCUAUCAGAGAACUCCACAUGUAUCUGGACGAUGAGAUGCUGCCUCGCAAGAAUAGCGAGGAAAAGUGGAAUAGCCCCUCGCAAUGGUGGAAGGAUCAUAAAAUAAUUUACCCUCACCUAUCGCAUUUAUUUAGAACAAAAUGCAAUAUUGCGGCUACGUCAGUACCCUGCGAGCAAUUAUUUUCGAAGACAGGGCUUAUUAUAAACGAUAGAAGAUGUCGUCUGAAAGCAAAAAAGUCGAGCAGCUUGCAUUCCUUAAUGCAAAUCUACCCUGAUUGACUAAUAACAACUACUCUACUACUAAUUGAUAAUUAUAUUAAUUAUUUAUUAUUUAAUUAUCAUUCAAUGAAUUGUUUGUGGAAUUAGGUUUAUUAACUUUUAUCUUAUUUUUUGUGCAAUUGACGAAACUGCUGGUGGAUAAUAUUAAAUGAUUAAGUGAAUAUUGUUGCUAUUGAUGUUAUAUAUUUUGUAAUUAUUUAUAACGAUUUUAAACAGUGAAUAGUCCCACAACGGCAACAUGCCCCCAUCGUCCGGGUUCCACACAUGUUUUUGUGAUGCCCCGGGGUCUAAAUGUGCAUAUUUCUCACAUGCAUAAGGAUAGUCCGACACAGCUGUCGAUACUGCCUCGGGUGCCGUGUUCUGUAAGUGUUGAUGCUCAUCCACAAGCCCAGAGUGUUAUCCAUACUCUGGACAAUUUGCCAUUUUAUCAAAAUAAAAUUCCUGUGCUUAAGCACAACCUUAAGGGGACCAGGAAUUUAGUCGCAGGAAAGCUCAGAGUCAUUACAGACAGCUGUAUAAACAAUAACGGUGUAGAAGACUGGGUUUCCUUGUUGUCCUAUUCUUACACGACUGGAAUUCCAGAUCGAAGUGAUCCCUGUUCGCUUACUGCAAAGGUUAAGGAAAAUGUAAACAAUACCAGCCUGUAUGACUUCAAACACAAGCCACGAUCCGUUAUCAAAAGAAUCGAAGCCAAGGUUCAUGAGGGUGAUUUACAUAGAGCUGUCCGUCUUUUAGAGUCGGAGGAUUCUUUAGUACCUAUUAAUGAUGAGACCUUAAUCGCAUUACGUGAUAAGCAUACCAUACCUUUUCGUCCUUUAUCAUUGCCGCCAUAAAAGUAAAAUAGUUUUUUUUAAAUAUUUAUUUCAUGUUUUUCCCAGACAAUUUAUCGAUAAAGAAUAUCGGCUUUAUCAAGCACUAGCGUGUAUGAACAUUUUUAUUGCCUUUUUGCGUGUGUGAAUGUGUAUGCCUACGGAAGUUAGUGUUAGUAAGCUUAGUAAUAGUCGAACGAAUAUCUGCCCUGAGAUUUAUGUGUGCGUGAUUUUGUUGUGUGCGAAAUAUUUGUAAUCAUAGUAUUGCGUAUGUGUAGAAAUUAAAAUAGUGGGGGUCAAGCGGCGACACUGGUCCUAAUACAAAAUUAGGACAAAGGCCUUUCCAUUUAACUGUACAUUUUUUGAAGGGACUAUUAUAUAUAGUCGCAAUAUUGGAGUAACAGAGUUGAGUUCUAAUCAUGCUCCGAGUUAUAUCGCAGAUAGACUUCAGUUAACUCUGAACAAUUGGAACAUUUCUAUACCUAAAAUCCGAUGCGUGGUUUCAGACAGUGGUGCUAAUAUAGUGGCAGGAGUUAAAUUAAUUGUUGGUGACUGUAAUAAUUUGCCAUGUUUCGCUCACACAAUUAAUUUAGUCACGGAAGUAAUACUUAGUGGCGCAGAGAUUAAAGGGUUAAUUAUUGUUAAGGAUCUCUAAAUCCCCCUCCAAACAAGUUUUUAUUCUCGCCCACCACCGAGCUUCACUUCAUCGAGCGAUCGCGAACACAUAUACAUCUUUAACGACUACAUUAUCUACUACAAUAUUGCACUUCAUUAUUAUUUGUUCUACAGUUUUAAUCUUUUAAUAAACCUGUAAAUACGAGCCAAAUCGUUUCAUUGAAGAGAACAACAAGACAUUCAGCAAGGAACAAUUAUUAAAGUGCGCAAUAUUAUAAAACUUAUCAAAAAUAGUGUAGACAACUCUGAAAAAUUGCAUAAACUUCAAAUUGAAAAUUGGCUUCCCUGAGUGUCAAGCAUUUCGGUUACUACGCUCACACGCUUAAUUUAAUAGCUAAACACUGCAGACGAAAGAGUACGGGAGCUAAUUAAUAAGGUGAAAACGAUUGUUUCACAUUACAAAAAGAGUGUUAAGAUAAAGGCAAAUUAGAGAAAAAAUCAAAUAAAGGCACCAACGAAAGGUAGGAUCCUAUACUUUUCUUUUUUGCGUCUGUUUUCCUAAAAUGUUAAAUUAAAAAGUAGAUUAGAUUUUGUAUAAAAAUUGGGUUAUGUAUCCAGCAGUGGCACUGUGACCGUCUAUAUACUGAUAAUGACAUGGUUGACGGACGGACGAUGAGAUAAUUCGUUUGUAUGCAUACGAUUUAUACAAAGCUUAUGUGUUUGUUAUUAUUAAGUGGCUAGUGGCUGUAGUUUUGGGGUUGGGAUUAUUGAUAUUUUGCAGAUUAUCGAUCUAUCGAGUGUUAAUUUUUGUCUUUAUGUUUCAGUUCAAAAAAUACAAUAACGUGGCCAGCUCAAAGCAUUUAAUGGAAUAUGAUCAAUCCCAACCAUCUUCAUUUAACAAUGGCAAAGAAAUAGAUAUUUAAUUAAAUAUUAACAAAUUAAUAUUAAUACAGAUAAUAUUAGGAUUAUUAACAAAAAUAUAAAUAUUUAUUUUAAUAUCCAAUUAUAUUAAAAUAAGUUUUUUUUUCAGCCGGUGGUACAAAGUAUAACAGAAUUGUUUAAGCAUUGAUAUUUUUAAUCUGUCAAAAUAUGCAUCCAUUUAACAUAGUUGAAGGUGAAGGCCUUGAAGACUUUUAAAAGAACUGGAAUCUACUUUUAAACUUCAUAAUGCAAAGUAUUUAAAGAAAAGUACUACCGAAAAGUACGCAGCUCGUGUUACUAUUUUUAAGUCCAAAUUAUGCAAGAUAGACAAUUUCUGUUUAACGCUAGACAUAUGGACAGAAACAAUCAAUGAAGAAGGAUUCAUGGGAGUCACCAUACAUUUUGUAGAAAAUGGUAAAAUGUGUAUGUAUUAUUUUGCAACUCGUGCAUUAAGUGAGCGAUAUACAGCUAAUUACAUAUUGGAAAACCUGCUUGAUAUUUUGAAAACAUGGUAUAGUCCACCUACCAAAAUUCGUGCAGCUGUAACAGAUAAUGCCAGUUCAAUGUUGGCUUACGAAUGUCUUUAGGCGAAAAAAAACCUUUAACGUGUUUUGCGCAUACCAUAAAUCUUGUAGUUGAAGAAGCACUAAAGUUACUCAGUGCUGAAUCAGCUGUUAUAAAAGUACGAGAAAUUGUUAAUUGGAUUAAAAAUAGUGUUGUGCAGUCGGAUAAGCUAUGAAAAAUGCGUAAUAAUGUUUCGGAAGAAUCAGUUUUAAAACUUAUUGCAGAUGUAUUGAAGUAGAUGGAACUCAACUUUUUUAUGUUAGUGCAAAUCCUAAAGUUAAGAAUUGUAAUAUCAGAAAUUGUAAUUGAGAGUAAUAGUGACUCCCAAGGGACAUGGGACACUCUCCAUACAUUGCACGGCCCACUAAACGAAGUUCAAGGACAGUAAUGAAAUUAAGUUUAAAUAACAGACUAUAUAUCCCUUUUAUUUUAUUAUAAACAAAUUAAAAUCAAUAUUGUUCAUGGGGAUACAGAGAUAUUUAAAAAAUAAGAUAAGAUUUGUAGGUUACCUAUAUCAUAUAUUUUGCUGUCAAUACGCUUACACUUUAACAUCAUCAUCAGCUUAAAUAUUAUUUAUAUUACUAUACUUUAUAACACAGACCUAAUUCAAUGAACGCCAAGACUUAAUCUUAUGCACAACAAAAUAUAAUAAGCAGGUAUAUCGCAACGAAACACUUAAUAAUAUCCACAAUGCGCACGAGUGCGAAAACGAUUGGUCAAAUAUAAAACGUCAAUAAACAAUAAACAAGCGUAAUUUUUUUUUUUGCUUAAGAUCAAUAAUUAUUGAUCAAUGUAAUGUAAUGUCUACGGAUUUAAAAGUAUAAAAAUAGAUUUUUGUUUAGAUAGAAUGUUUUAUAUUAGUUUUAAAAUCCAUUAAUUAAAUAUGUUAAUAUAUUUUGCUAGUUUUUUGCAAUAUAAUGUCUUUUUCAAAAAUAUUUAAUGUGUAUUGUUUAAAAUAUAAAUAUAUUUUACCUAUGGCAACUCCUUCAAUAUUAUUAAUGUAGCUUAGUCAUGCUAAUUUCUUUUUAUUUAUGAUUUUUAUUAUUCCACCAUUAAAAUACCAUUAAAUUUUAUAAUAAGUAUGUAAAAAUGAAAUGUUUUUUUUCUGUAGAUAUUUCAUUCGCGUCCUUGAGAGCAUGAGUAGCUAGGCCAAAAAUGGCCCAUGUCCUUUGCGAAGUGCUGUGGAAAUGGAAACCCUGAAUGAGCUUACAGCUGUAUUGAAGCCUUUUAACAAUAAUAAUAAUAAUUCAAGCCUCUUAAAAUAUAAACACGAAGCGUCAGAUAUGACUAGGUCUUUGAAUUCUUGCUUUAAAUUAUCUAAAUCAGCCAUUUUGAGAGUGAAGUAACACAAAAUAGUCUACUCGCCAGCAAAGAAAAGCUGCAGUAUAAAGUCCGUGAGAUUCUUGGAAGACCUAGUGUAGAGAAGGUACUAUAAUUUUUAUACUUGAAAAGGAAUAAGAUCCUUCAUAAAGUAUCGUAUUUAACAUAUAAUUAAUAUAUUUUAUGACUUGGUUAUGUUUGAGCGUGUGUCCUUUGUAAAUACUUUCCUAACGAAAUGAAUAUAAAUAUAUAGUCCGAAAAAAGUAUGAGUGAUUGUAAAUAUGUAAAGAAAGUUAUUCCUUUCUUUAAUUUGAAGUAUGUCACGCAUGCGCUGUCGACAUGUGCCGGAACGUCCGCGCAUGUGCUGAUAAGUCGAGAAGCCUUGACAGAUAAACAAUAUGUCAUUGUGUAAAAUUAUAUAAAAAAUAAUUUCUAUUUAGAUAGUUACAAGAUUAUAAAAUAAACUUUAAAUGUCGUGUCUUUGUUCUUUCGGAGCAACACAUUGAAGUUUUAUUUUAAUAAAACAACAUUACCUAAUAAUCUUAUAAAUAUAUGAGUGAAUAGAGGAUUGUAAUAGUGAUGUAUGAUGUGGAGGUGGCUAUGGUUACAUAAUGCAGUUAUUACCUUAUAAAUAAUGGGAAAAGAUAGUACUUGGUCUAGUCAAUUUUUAUUAAUUAGGUCCUUCAAGGUUUGUUCAUUUUUGAUAAUUAAUAAUAAAUAAUUCGUAAUAAGACGUUUCCAUUAAAUGACCAGCAGAACUGAAAGUUAUUUUCCUUUGCAAAAGUGCGUCUAGAGAAUAAGAGCUUCUACGUAUGCAAGGGUAAGUAUUCUGCUACAUAUAUUGAUUUGGGACCUCCAGGAAGGCCAAUCAGCUCAGUAUUUAACUUUUCUGGAUUGGGCCGCUUUUUGUUAAAUUCCUUCGAAGCCUUGAUAAACUUCAAUUUGCCUCGACCCGCAUAAAUUCCACAACAAUAUUCCUAUUAGUGUUGAGCAUAUUUACUUUGUCCACUUCAUGAUCUGUGCACUACUCUAUGGUAAUAUAUGUGUUAGUCUAUAAAGUAAUGUAUGAUUAUUGUAUCAAUGGCAAUAUGCCAGAAGACACUUCUGCUCUGCUAAUAAAAUUGUGCUCGUACUUUUGUGUACUAAGUUACCAAAAGAAAUCUAAACGCUUCCACUGCGCGACCGCCACUACUAUGGAGUUUAGAAGCAAUUCAGUUAGUGAAGAACAAAUACAGUUGUAAUAUUAAAAGGCAAAAGUCAAGAGGGACAAAAAAGUACAAGGGAAUUACUUGGUACUAAAAUGGUGGACGACACUUCGAGAAAAUUACUUCCAGAGUUUACUGGAACCAACUUCAGCAACAGACGCUUCAGAAUAAUUCGCUCUCGGUGCAAUAUUAUCACAAGGAAUAGUAAGAAAUGACAAACCUGUGGCGUAUGCCAGCCGAACUUUAAAUGAUGCUGAAACACGGUAUAGUGUAACUGAAAAAGAAUUGCUUGCAAUCGUUUGGGCAGUCAAACAUUUUCGACCCUAUCUUUAUGGUAGAAAAUUUACAUUUGUGACUGAUCAUAAACCCCUCACUUGGCUUAAUACCCUUAAAGAGAAAAACAGUAGACUGACCCGUUGGAGACUUAGACUAUCAGAAUACGACUUUAACAUCAUUCAUAAAAGUGGAAAACUGAAUAAUAACGCAGACGCCUUAUCGCGUAUUAAAAUAAAUGCCUUAGACAAAGAUAAUAAGCUCAUUGAAAGUAAACGUUGACAAAGAUAGAAAUAGAAAUAAACAUGUAAAAGAAAUUAUUAAAGAAAUAGAAAAUUUGCGUAGAGAACCCGAGGAAAAUUUAGAAACUACGUCUAUUUCCGACACAGACUCUGAGAGAACUUUAACAGCCCAUUGUCGCUCACCUUAUUCAAUACCAUACUCUAGUUUCACCCUGACCGCAUCCGAAAGUUCACCUAGUAACACAGAAACUGCUCAUUCCGCACAAGAUACAGAAUCGAAAGGCAUUCCUAUCUUACAAGAAGCCAUAGAUAUAAAAUCAAAUCAAAUUUUAGUCUAUACAUGGCUUAUCGACAAACUCUCAGUAAAAAAUUUGUCUAGAGAAAAACAAAGAAUUUUAGAAGUCCACCUACUAGUUAAUCGAUCUGACCUUGUUAAACAGUUUCUUAAGGAAUGCAUAAAGAACAAUACUAAAUACUUCAUUUAUUUCGAAGAUGACCACCAUAGGAGACAAUUUACAGAAACAGUAAUCUUUUUAUUCAAAAAAGAAAUGGUACAAUUUUUCGAAUAUACUAAAAGAGUAGUUUUUAUUGAAAAUGAAUUAGAACAAAAGGAAAUCGUUGAAAAAUAUCAUACAGGUAAAACAUGUCACCGAGGUAUAAGAGAAACACUUACACACAUUAAACGCACAUACUUUUGGCAUAAAGUGGAACAAACUGUUUCAAGUGUCAUAAACUCUUGCGAAGUAUGUAAACGUAAACCCCUCAGAUCUACACUACAAUUAACACAGACACAGACUAAACCUUUAGAAGAACUUUUUAUCGACUUAUUUACUAUCGAAGGACAUUACUUUCUUACUAUUAUUGACGCCUUCAGCAAACUAGGACAGGCACUAGAAUUUACAAACCGAUCUACCCCUGAAGUAGUACGAGCCCUAAUAAAAUACUUUUCAUUUUAUGGGAUACCCCAAAAAAUUAGCUCGGAUCCUGGUACAGAAUUUAAUAAUGCACUUCUAAAAGAACUCUUAUCAUUUUACAAAAUAGAUUUACACAUCAGUACACCUUAGUAAAUAAUAGACACGUACGUUGCGUUCACCGUUUAUUGACACACUGAAGUGAAUACUUGCUUACAAACAUAACACCUCCACCCUUAUUUACUACACAUUAUAAGCAUAAUUAAUAUAUAUAUAUCUUAACUAAGCAUAACUAACAAACUAAAGUAAAAAAAAACAAAGAGAGGUUAUAACUAUAUACUUAAUCUAUUUCCUCGAAUCCAUAUCUAACUGGUGGCUUGCGUAUUCCUACAGGACGUUCACGUUUGGGUGUCACAUUUUCAUUCAUACUCUUACCACCAGUACUACAUGCUCCCUUGUCUAUCGGCACAGCGGGUCUCAUAGGGCUGCCACGAAUAGGCGAUACAGCAUCUUGUGCCGGUGUGCAAUUUUUUGGUGGUGAACUGUAGUCCUAGCACGAAUAACUUGCGAAAAUGUAUUCGUAACGUUAUCGAAUUAUAUUUGUAUGAGAUUCGUACAGCGCCCCUAUCGUACGUAAAAGGAACUAAUUUUGGUAGCACGAACAAAUUUCGUAUCGCAAUCGUAUCGUCACGUAAACGAUACUUGAACCAUAUAAACAAUGAAACGCUAUAAUUGCGAGCACGAACACUGUUUUGACGUACGGUAAUGUAAAUUUCGAAGGCUGGGUAUCGAGUAUUGUCGAAACUUUAUUCACUUAAGAUUUGUUGGUGAGAAAGGUUUCGUAACGUGUUUAAAUAUAAUUUUAUCCAUGUUUUUAUUUUAUAAGUAAUUUUUUAUAAAUAAUAGUCUUUUCUUAUCACUUUAGUUAGUUCUUAUAUACAAUUAAUUUUAAUAAAUUGCGCAAAAUGCAAAGACCACCGUUGUACGAGCGUAGUCCCUUAUAUUAUUUUGUUGCUGCAAGUUUACUUGAAAAUGAAGAAUAUUCAUCAAGAGAAGUUAGAGAAAUUACACGCAGAGUUGCUCUGAGAAAGAAAAAUAAUCCUGUGGACAUAAAUGACGCGGAAUUCAAAAAUAGAUACCGGUUGAAUAAAGAAUCAUUCAAGUUUCUUUGUAAUCAACUUAAGCAAAAAACAUCUUUAAAAGCAAGUUCCAGGAUAAGUUUGGAACUUAAGGUUCUUUGCGCGCUAUCUUUUUAUGCCACUGGAUCUUACCAACGCUUAGUGGGAAUGGCUAAAUAUUUGGGCCAAACGACUGUUAGCAAAUGUGUGAAGGAAGUAACAGAUGCUCUUGUAACUCCUGCAAUCUUAAAUACUUUCAUAAAAUUUCCUUAUGCCAGAGCUGAUAGAGAUGUAAUAAGAAACAAAUUUGUGAUAGUGAUUGUCGUAUUUUAAACGUAAAUGCGAAAUACGGAGGAGCCACCCACGACGCUUUUAUUUGGGAAAAUAGCGUGGUCAACAAUUAUAUGCAGAGCUUACAUCGAAAUAACGAGCAAGUGUGGUUGUUAGGUGAUUCUGGUUAUCCACAGCGACCCUGGUUAAUGACACCAAUUUUAGAUGCUGUUGAGGGAACUCCAGCUUAUAAAUAUACAGCAGUUCAUGGAAGGACCAGAGUAGCUAUUGAAAAUACUUUUGGGCGACUAAAAAACCGAUGGCGUUGUUUGUGUAAGGAUCGCACAUUACACUAUGCUCCAGUAAAAUGUGCAAAAAUCAUAACAGCAUGCUGUGUAUUGCACAACUUAGCCAUUGAGUUCAACGUACCUGAACCAGAACCAGCAGAGAUUGAAAACCCCAAUUUGGCUAUGACAAUAUCUGAACAUAUUUUUCAAGAGAAUACUACAGGAGAUGGGUUAAUUAGGGGUAGAGCUAUAAGAAGUAUUUUAGCGGAUAAAAUUAAUAGACUUCAUACAUAAUUUUACUUUUGUUUAUUAAUUUUGUAAAAAAUAUAGUAAUUGGUAAUUAUAAUUAAGUAAUUGGUAAAAUAAAAGUAGUUGGUAAAAAAAUAUAGUAAUUAAGCUUAA